CUGGUGAGCAUGCAUAUAAGCAUAUGUAUUUGGAAGCUUCUGGGGACUGCUUUUCUGUUUAUUGACCUCUGAUUUUCCAUUAUAUGUCCUUCUUGGACUGGAAAACAAAGAUGGGAGAUUACUGCACCCAGGCACCACUUCAGAAAGGACAAAAACCUUAAACUAUCAUCAUAAGGAAAGCUUUUUUCAGUUCUUCAUUCCUAUGGACCAGGUCCAGGAAGCCACAGAGAAUAGGGAGGGGGCACCCUAUGAGGAGCCUGAAAUUCCUCCUGCACUCUCUUUACCUGAUUUUGCCUAGGAAGAAAACUUGUGAAGAAUGAUACAAGUCACAUCAGGCAAUCAACUUGCCACAGUGAGGUGUAGAUGAGGUCUACAGCUUAUGUAACUCUGGGAGGUGAUUGCCCUAAGAUAUGAUCAAGACCAGCUGGAUUGUAUGCAUUCAUGUUUUCCAAGCCAGGAGACCAACAGCCUAAAUAUCUCCAUGAAAAUGAAGUUGGCUGUCUGUCAGGUAAGCGAAUCUCAAAUUCUUUAACAUAGGAAGCCUGAAUCCAGCUAUCUGUCUAGUUUGAAUACAUGAGUAAUCUCAGCGACCAUAUAUUGUUAGUCUAAACAAACAUGUUACAGUCCUUCCAAGAAUGAGCAGGAUGCUAGUCCAGACUACGAAGCACUGCUGUGAUAACCUUACUGAGAAAAUGGUUGACCAACUUUUUUUUUAGUUCUGGCUUUUGAAUUAUAGCAUAAUUCAAACUACAGAUUUCAGUUAUCAGUCAUAGAAAAGCCAUAGGUGACCAUUGUAAAGUCUGUAUUUUAAACAAAGAUGAGUAUCUGGUUAAAUAUAGUAUCUGAAACCCUGUUCAUUCAGGAGCAAGAUCCAAAAGUGGGAAUGCUUUAAAGUUCAUGACCUUUUAAUUUCUUCUGGGUGAUUCUUAAACUGUCCACUAAUGACAGUCCUAACUCUGUGAAGUUUGCCAUGCUGUAUUAUUAUAGUAAAGGACCACCUGGACUAACCUGAUCACCAAGCCUUCUCCUGACACCUUUGUAACAUUCUUCA